AAACCUUCAAAUAGGGAAGGGUGAUAAUUCUAAAGUUCAUUUUUUUGCACAGAAUUAUGUUAUCUAUACCUAUUUAGGCAAUGAGUCACCAUCAGUUUAUUGUUUCCAAAAACC